rnacentral:rRNA from 1 species
AUUGAACGCUGGCGGCAGGCCUAACACAUGCAAGUCGAGCGGAUCGUCGGACGGGUGAGUAAUGCCUAGGACUCUGCCUGGUAGUGUGGGAUAACGUCCGGAAACGGGCGCUAAUAUCGCAUACUAUCAGAUUAGCCUAGGUCGGAUUAGCUAGUUGUUGGGGUACAGGCCUACCAAGGCGACGAUCCGUAACUGGGCUGAGAGGAUGAUCAGUCACACUGGAACUGAGACACGGGCCAGACGCAUACGGGAGGCAGGAGUGGGGAAUAGUGGACAAUGGGCGAAAGCCUGAUCCAGCCAUGCCGCGUGUGUGAAGAAGGUCUUAGGAUUGUAAAGCACUUUAAGUUGGGAGGCGUUACCAACAGAAUAAGCACCGGCUAACUUCGUGCCAGCAGCCGCGGUAAUUC